rnacentral:rRNA from 1 species
CCAAUAGCGUAUAUUAAAGUUGUUGCAGUUAAAAAGCUCGUAGUUGAAUUUCGGGAUCAAUACGUCGGUCGUGCUUCGGUACGUACUGGCGUCAUUGGUUUCUCCUUUCUGACGAACCAUGAUGUCAUUAAUUUGGUGUUAUGGGAAAUCAGGACUGUUACUUUGAAAAAGUUAGAGUGUUUAAAGCAGGCUCACGCUUGAAUACAUUAGCAUGGAAUAAUGAAAUAGGACGUUCGAUCCUAUUUUGUUGGUUUUAGGAUCAACGUAAUGAUUAAUAGGGAUAGUUGGGGGCAUUAGUAUUCAAUUGUCAGAGGUGAAAUUCUUGGAUUUAUUGAAGACUAACUACUGCGAAAGCAUUUGCCAAGGAUGUUUUCAUUAAUCAAGAACGAGAGUUAGGGGAUCGAAGACGAUCAGAUACCGUCGUAGUCUUAACCAUAAACUAUGCCGACUAGGGAUCGGAUGAUGUUAAUUUUUUAAUGACUCAUUCGGCGCCUUACG